rnacentral:rRNA from 1 species
GAACGCGAAGAACCUUACCCGGGCUUGAAAUUGCAGAGGAAGGAUCUUAGAGAUAAUGACGUCCUUCGGGGUACUCUAGUGAAGGUGCUGCAUGGUUGUCGUCAGCUCGUGCCGUGAGGUGUCGGCUUAAGUGCCAUAACGAGCGCAACCCCUCUCUUCAGUUGCCAUCAGGUUAAGCUGGGCACUCUGGAGACACUGCCACCGUAAGGUGUGAGGAAGGUGGGGAUGACGUCAAAUCAGCACGGCCCUUACGUCCGGGGCUACACACGUGUUACAAUGGCCGGUACAGAGGGACGGUGUAAUGCAAAUUGCAUCUAAUCUUGAAAGCCGGUCCCAGUUCGGACUGGGGUCUGCAACCCGACCCCACGAAGCUGGAUUCGCUAGUAAUCGCGCAUCGGCCAUGGCGCGGUGAAUACGUUCCCGGGUCUUGUACACACC